GGAGGGAUGCCGGAGUGGUUUAACGGGACGGUCUCGAAAAUCGUUAAGGAAGCAAUUCCUUCCAGGGUUCGAAUCCCUGUCCCUUCG
rfam:secondary endosymbiont of Trabutina mannipara isolate TRABTM genome assembly, chromosome: I